rnacentral:rRNA from 1 species
CGGCUUCCUACGGGAGGCAGCAGUGGGGAAUAUUGGACAAUGGGGGAAACCCUGAUCCAGCAAUGCCGUGUGUGUGAAGAAGGCCUAAGGGUUGUAAAGCACUUUUGGUAAGGAGGAGAAGCGUUGAACGAAUAAUUCAACGUGGAGACGUUACUUACAGAAUAAGCACCGGCUAACUCUGUGCCAGCAGCCGCGGUAAUACAGAGGGUGCGAGCGUUAAUCGGAAUGAUUGGGCGUAAAGCGCGCGUAGGCGGUAAGAAAAGUUGGAUGUGAAAUCUUCGGGCUUAACCUGGAAACUGCAUCCAAAACUGACUUACUGGAAUUCAGCAGAGGAAAGUAGAAUUUCCAGUGUAGCGGUGAAAUGCGUAGAUAUUGGAAGGAAUACCAGAGGCGAAGGCGGCUUUCUGGGCUGAAAUUGAUGCUAAGGCGCGAAAGCGUGGGGAGCAAACAGGAUUAGAUACCCCAGUAGUCCAAGCCG